rfam:Pan troglodytes isolate Yerkes chimp pedigree #C0471 (Clint) chromosome 6, whole genome shotgun sequence.
GCUGGGUGCGGUAGUGUGCACCUGUAGUCCCAGCUACCUGGGGAGCUGAGGCAGGAGGAUAGCUUGAACCCAGGAGGUUGAGGCUGUGGUGAGCUGAGAUCACACCACUGCACUUCAGCCUGGGUGAGAAAGUGAGACCCUGUCUCAA